UACAUGGGGUGCAAACGUUGCUCGGAAUUAUUGGGCGUAAAGAGCUCGUAGGCGGUCUGUCGCGUCUGCUGUGAAAACUCAGGGCUUAACCCUGAGCUUGCAGUGGGUACGGGCAGACUAGAGUGCGGUAGGGGAGACUGGAAUUCCUGGUGUAGCGGUGAAAUGCGCAGAUAUCAGGAGGAACACCGGUGGCGAAGGCGGGGUCUCUGGCUCGAUACUGACGCUGGAGGUGACGAAAGCAUGGGGGAGCGAACAGG
rnacentral:rRNA from 1 species